rnacentral:rRNA from 1 species
GUGAGGAAUAUUGCGCAAUGGAGGCAACUCUGACGCAGCCAUGCCGCGUGCAGGAAGAAGGCGCUACGCGUUGUAAACUGCUUUUAACCGGGAAGAAACCCCAGGACGUGUCCUGGGUUGACGGUACCGGAGGAAUAAGCACCGGCUAACUUCGUGCCAGCAGCCGCGGUAAUACGAAGGGUGCAAGCGUUAUCCGGAUUCAUUGGGUUUAAAGGGUGCGUAGGCGGAGCGUUAAGUCAGUGGUGAAAUCCUGCAGCUUAACUGUAGACUUGCCAUUGAUACUGGCGCUCUUGAGUGCGCUUGAAGUGGGCGGAAUGUGCCGUGUAGCGGUGAAAUGCUUAGAUAUGGCACAGAACACCAAUUGCGUAGGCAGCUUACUGAGCCGACACUGACGCUGAGGCACGAAAGCGUGGGGAUCGAACAGGAUUAGAUACCCGGGUAGUCC